UGCGGCAAAAUUUGUGUGGAGUAUAUCAGAACACUAUAACAUUAAAUAAUGCGGCAAAAUUUUGAAUUUGGAUCUCCUAUGUUUGUGUGCUUGCACAAUACAACAUUUGUAUGUAUUUUGUGUUUUUUAUUUUUUAUCAAGUAAAUUCAUUUCUAAGUGAAUUACUAAAAUCUUUGGAAUUCGUACUCUUACCUCUUUAUAAAUAAUUUUUCUAUAGAUAAUAAAAUGGCACUUAUCAUGAGUGCUGCAUCAUGCAACAACCGUAUAUGUUUC
rnacentral:lncRNA from 1 species